AUCUACGAAGGAUGCAGGGGCGAGGCCGGGUCUCUGCAGGAUGUGCGGUCGCGGGUCGGAGUCUAUAAAGAUUCCUAGGUCAAAACAAAGCAUAAACAAUCAACGCCAACAGAAAAAUCUUCCGAAGAACAAUUACAAGAAGUAACUCAGGAAAUUUUCCCAAGAGGCAAUCCAGAAGAGUUUGAGUUUCGAUCAGCUUGUAGGACUGAGACAGGAGCAGAACAUUGCUGGAAGAAAUUCACAAUACAGACCAGGAUGAAGUUAUUUCCCCAAAAGAGAGGUUCGAGGCAAGUGGUCAGCUCCCCGUUGAAAAUCAUUGUAGCAGACAAAUACCGGGAAUGUAAUAAAUUGGAGAAAAGUUUGUCUCUGGGCACAAAGCCUGUUGUACCUCUGAGGGACAGGCCAGGAAAGAGAGCCAGUGGAUGGAGGAUGGGUGGCUGAGGCUUUCCAUGUGAGUCAUAUCUGAGUGGACAUCGGGCAGUUACCAGUGGGACAAAGCCCCAUGGAUGCCAUGUGUAUGGGAAGUCUUUCAGCAAGAACUCACACCUUACUUGGCAUCAGAUAAUUCAUACUACAGAGAAGCCCUGUGUAUGUAUUGAAUGUGGGGAAAAAAACACAACUCAAGCCUUAUACAUCAUCAGAAAAUUCACCAUGGAUGGUGAAACCCUAUCUCUACUAAAAACACAAAAAUUA
ensembl:lncRNA novel transcript